rnacentral:RNase_P_RNA from 1 species
CGAGUCGCUCGGGCGGUCGCGGCAGGUAAAAUCUGUCGAGGAAAGUCCGGACUCCACAGGGCAAGGUGGUGGCUAACGGCCACCUGGGGCAACCCACGGGAAAGUGCCACAGAAAACAGACCGCCGGCUCUCCGGAGUCGGUAAGGGUGAAACGGCGGUGUAAGAGACCACCAGCAUGCCGAGUGAUCGGUGUGGCUAGGCAAACCCCACCCGGAGCAAGGUCAAAAGGCUGCGUGCAGCUGCGCGGAUGAUGAGCGGCCCGCUCAUCCUGAGCAAUCAGGCAUCCGCGGGUAGACCGCAUGAGGUCACCGGCAACGGUGAUCCCAGAUGGAUGAUCGCCCCCUUCGGGGACAGAAUCCGGCUUACAGGGUGACUCGUCCG